AACGAACGCUGGCGGCAUGCCUAACACAUGCAAGUCGAACGAAGCCUUCGGGCUUAGUGGCGCACGGGUGCGUAACGCGUGGGAAUCUGCCCUUGGGUUCGGAAUAACAGUUAGAAAUGACUGCUAAUACCGAAUGAUGUCUUCGGACCAAAGAUUUAUCGCCCAAGGAUGAGCCCGCGUCGGAUUAGCUAGUUGGUGAGGUAAAGGCUCACCAAGGCGACGACCCGUAGCUGGUCUGAGAGGAUGAUCAGCCACACUGGGACUGAGACACGGCCCAGACUCCUACGGGAGGCAGCAGUGGGGAAUAUUGGACAAUGGGCGAAAGCUUGACGCAGCGACGCCGCGUGGGUGAUGAAGGCCUCGGUCGUAAGACCGUCGUCGCACGGGAAGGAAG
rnacentral:rRNA from 1 species